rnacentral:rRNA from 1 species
GAACCGUCCAAACGUUUAUUCGGAAUCAUUGGGCUUAAAGGGUGCGUAGGCGGUGUGGUCAGUUGGGUGUGAAAUCCCUCGGCUCAACCGAGGAACUGCGCCCAAUACUGCCACACUCGAGGGAGACAGAGGUAAGCGGAACUGAUGGUGGAGCGGUGAAAUGCGUUGAUAUCAUCAGGAACACCAGUGGCGAAGGCGGCUUACUGGGUCUCUUCUGACGCUGAGGCACGAAAGCUAGGGGAGCGAACGGGUAUUAGAUACCCCGGUAGUCCUAGCUGUAAACGAUGAGCACUUGAUCGGAGACUCCUCCAUAGGUUUCCGGUCGUAGCGAAAGUGUUAAGUGCUCCGCCUGGGGAGUAUGGUCGCAAGGCUG